rnacentral:rRNA from 1 species
GAUGAACGCUGACAGAAUGCUUAACACAUGCAAGUCAACUUGAACUUCGGUUUGGGUGGCGGACGGGUGAGUAACGCGUAAAGAACUUGCCUCACAGAUAGGGACAACAUUUGGAAACGAAUGCUCAUACCUGAUAUUAUGAUUAUAUGGCAUCGUAUAAUUAUGAAAGCUAUAUGCGCUGUGAGAGAGCUUUGCGUCCCAUUAGCUAGUUGGAGAGGUACGGGCUCACCAAGGGGAUGAUGGGUAGCCGGCCUGAGAGGGUGAUCGGCCACAAGGGGACUGAGACACGGCCCUCACUCCUACGGGAGGCAGCAGGGGGGAAUAUUGGACAAUGGACCAAGAGUCUGAUCCAGCAAUUCUGUGUGCACGAUGAAGUUUUUCGGAAUGUAAAGUGCUUUCAGUUGGGAAGAAAAAAAUGACGGUACCAACAGAAGAAGUGACGGCUAAAUACGUGCCAGCAGCCGCCGUAAAAC